rnacentral:rRNA from 1 species
CUUCGGGGGAUUGUGGCGACGGGUGAGUACACGUGGGCAAUCUGCCCUUCACUCUGGGACAAGCCCUGGAAACGGGGUCUAAUACCGGAUAACACUCUGUCCUGCAUGGGACGGGGUUAAAAGCUCCGGCGGUGAAGGAUGAGCCCGCGGCCUAUCAGCUUGUUGGUGGGGUAAUGGCCUACCAAGGCGACGACGGGUAGCCGGCCUGAGAGGGCGACCGGCCACACUGGGACUGAGACACGGCCCAGACUCCUACGGGAGGCAGCAGUGGGGAAUAUUGCACAAUGGGCGAAAGCCUGAUGCAGCGACGCCGCGUGAGGGAUGACGGCCUUCGGGUUGUAAACCUCUUUCAGCAGGGAAGAAGCGAAAGUGACGGUACCUGCAGAAGAAGCGCCGGCUAACUACGUGCCAGCAGCCGGGGGUAAUACG